CUACGGGUCGCACCAGUGGGGAAUAUUGCACAAUGGAGGAAACUCUGAUGCAGCAACGCCGCGUGGAGGAUGACACUUUUCGGAGCGUAAACUCCUUUUAUAUAGGAAGAAGAUGACGGUACUAUAUGAAUAAGCGCCGGCUAACUCCGGGCCAGCAGCCGCGGUAAUACGGAGGGCGCAAGCGUUACUCGGAAUCACUGGGCGUAAAGAGCGUGUAGGCGGAUUAAAAAGUCAGAAGUGAAAUCCUAUAGCUUAACUAUAGAACUGCUUCUGAAACUCUUAAUCUAGAAUAUGGGAGAGGUAGAUGGAAUUUCUGGUGUAGGGGUAAAAUCCGUAGAGAUCAGAAGGAAUACCGAUUGCGGAGGCGAUCUACUAGAACAUUAUUGACGCUGAGACGCGAAAGCGUGGGGAGCAAACAGGAUUAGAUACCCUUGUAGUC
rnacentral:rRNA from 1 species